rnacentral:rRNA from 1 species
AUUGAACGCUAGCGGGAUGCCUUACACAUGCAAGUCGAACGGAGUGGCAAACGGGUGAGUAAUGUAUCGGAACGUGCCCAGUAGCGGUGGAUAACUACGCGAAAGCGUAGCUAAUACCGCAUACUAUUGCAGCUGCCGAUAGCGGAUUAGCUAGUGCGGGGGGUAACGGCUCACCAAGGCCACGAUCCGUAGCUGGUUUGAGAGGACGACCAGCCACACUGGGACUGAGACACGGCCCAGACUCCUACGGGAGGCAGCAGUGGGGAAUGUUGGACAAUGGGGGAAACCCUGAUCCAGCCAUCCCGCGUGUGCGAUGAAGGCCUUCGGGUUGUAAAGCACUUUUGGCAGGGAAGCGGUACCUGCAGAAUAAGCACCGGCUAACUACGUGCCAGCAGCCGCGGUAAUUC